GAUGAAUGCUAGCGGCAGGCUUAAUACAUGCAAGUCGUGGGGCAGCAUGAGUAGCAAUACUUGAUGGCGACCGGCAAACGGGUGCGGAGCACGUACACAACCUUCCGAUAAGUGGGGAAUAGCCCAGAGAAAUUUGGCUUCAUACCCCGUAACAUAUAGAGUAGGCAUCUUCUUUAUAGUAUAGCUUCGGCGCUCAUUGAUGGGUGUGCGUCUGAUUAGGGAGUUGGCGGGGUAACGGCCCACCAAGCCUACGAUCAGUAGCUGAUGUGAGAGCAUGAUCAGCCACACGGGCACUGAGACACGGGCCCGACUCCUACGGGAGGCAGCAGUAAGGAAUAUUGGACAAUGGGCGAAAGCCUGAUCCAGCCAUGCCGCGUGAAGGAUUAAGGUCCUCUGGAUUGUAAACUUCUUUUAUUUGGGACGAAAAAAGGGAAUUCUUUCCCACUUGACGGUACCAAGUGAAUAAGCACCGGCUAACUCCGUGCCAGCAGCCGCGGUAA
rnacentral:rRNA from 1 species